rnacentral:misc_RNA from 1 species
GCAGAGUUGAGGAGCAAUUGCCUGGAUGUCUUUCACUUAAGAGAAUUCCAAGACAUUUGAGGUUUUCAAAUGGUUAUAGAACAAAAGCAGCAUUAAAUCCUAAUUUGAAGGCAGUUGAGGUCCCACGCCAAUGGUACAAUCUGGUUGCAGAUCUUCCUGUAAAACCUCCUCCUCCAUUGCAUCCCAAGACUUUUGAACCAAUAAAACCCGAAGAUUU